GCCUGGGUAGCUCAGUCGGCAGAGCAGCGCACUCGUAACGCGCAGGCCGUGGGUUCAAGUCCCACCCCAGGCU
rnacentral:tRNA from 1 species